rnacentral:rRNA from 1 species
UACGUAGGGGGCAAGCGUUGUCCGGAUUCAUUGGGCGUAAAGAGCGUGUAGGCGGCCAGGUAGGUCGGUUGUGAAAACUGGAGGCUUAACCUCCAGACGUCGACGGAAACCGCGCGGCUAGAGUCCGGAAGAGGAGAGUGGAAUUCCUGGUGUAGCGGUGAAAUGCGCAGAUAUUCGCAAGAACACCAGUGGCGAAGGCGGCUCACUGGUCCGGUACUGACGCUGAGGUGCGAAAGCGUGGGGAGCAAACAGG